CAGGUGUGAAAAUGGAGACCCUGGCACAGGAUCAGGCAGUGAAAGGGAAAGCAGCAGUGCACAAGACCAGAGCCAGGAGGACAUAGAGACAGAGACAGAGGCAGAGAUGGCCAUGGAGGACCAAACAGGGAGAGAGGAGGCACAGGAUGAUGACAUCAGUACAUCAGAGAGUGGUGAGGAUGAGGAAGUCCAGUUGGAAGAAGAGGUGGAGUUGGAGCAGGCAGGAGCUGCUAGGAAGGGACUGUUGCCAGAAGACCCAGCUAACUGGCCAGCACCACACCAAAUAGGGGACUCAAUUAGGCAAGUUAUGGUGGAGAAUGGCCCGCAGGAUUGUCCAAA